GAGGGUAUAGCUCUGUUGGAGAGCACAUGCAUAGCAUGCAUGAGGUCAUGGGUUUGAGCCCCAGUACCUCCA
rnacentral:tRNA from 1 species